rnacentral:SRP_RNA from 1 species
GCCGGGUGCGGUGGCUCACACCUGUAAUCCCAGCACUUUGGGAGGCCGAGGUGGGUGGAUCACCUGAGGCCAGGAGUUCAAGACCAGCCUGGCCAACAUGGCGAAACCCCAUCUCUA